GAUGAACGCUGACAGAAUGCUUAACACAUGCAAGUCGAGCGAAGCACUUUUGCGGAUUUCUUCGGAUUGAAGCAACUGUGACUGAGCGGCGACGGGUGAAGGCAACGCGUGGGUAACCUGCCUCAUACAGGGGGAUAACGGUUAGAAAUGACUGCUAAUACCGCAUAAGACCACAGCACCGCAUGGUGCAGGGGUAAAAACUCCGGUGGUAUGAGAUGGACCCGCGUCUGAUUAGGUAGUUGGUGGGGUAACGGCCUACCAAGCCGACGAUCAGUAGCCGACCUGAGAGGGUGACCGGCCACAUUGGGACUGAGACACGGCUCAA
rnacentral:rRNA from 1 species